UACGAAGGUGGCAAGCGUUACUCGGAAUUACUGGGCGUAAAGGGCGCGUAGGUGGCGUCGCAAGUCAACGGUGAAAGCUCGACGCUCAACGUCGAGUCGGCCGUCGAGACUGCGAGGCUUGAGCACUGUAGAGGCAGAUGGAAUUCCUGGUGUAGCGGUGAAAUGCGCAGAUAUCAGGAGGAACACCGGUGGCGAAGGCGGGUCUCUGGGCCGAUACUGACGCUGAGGAGCGAAAGCGUGGGGAGCGAACAGG
rnacentral:rRNA from 1 species